AACGAACGCUGGCGGCGUGCUUAACACAUGCAAGUCGAGCGAGAAAGGGCUUCGGCCUGAGUACAGCGGCGAACGGGUGCGUAACACGUGGGUAAUCUGCCUUUGGGCUCGGGAUAACCUUCCGAAAGGAGGGCUAAUACCGGAUAAGCCCACGGGAGCCUCGGCUCCUGUGGGAAAAGAUGGCCUCUAUUUAUAAGCUACCACCUGAAGAUGAGCCCGCGGCCCAUCAGCUAGUUGGCGGGGUAAUGGCCCACCAAGGCUACGACGGGUAGCUGGUCUGAGAGGACGAUCAGCCACACUGGGACUGAGACACGGCCCAGACUCCUACGGGAGGCAGCAGUGGGGAAUCUUGCGCAAUGGGCGAAAGCCUGACGCAGCAACGCCGCGUGAGUGAUGAAGGUUUUCGGAUCGUAAAGCUCUUUCGGCUGGGAAGAACCGCCCGGUGGCUAAUAUCCAUCGGGUCUGACGGUACCAGCAGAAGAAGCACCGGCUAACUCUGUGCCAGCAGCCGCAGUAAGAC
rnacentral:rRNA from 1 species